GCGCUCCGCUCCCUCGGGACUGCUGUGUCUGUUGGCUGCUCGCGUCACUUCCGACCAAGUCGGAGCGCGAAAAAAGGUCUCGGCAGGGAAACCCUGAGGCUUCCCUGGAAGGCCAUUAUGUAGAUCCUGAGGAUAAAGCCUGUGUGACAAAAGGCAGAGUGGAGAGAUGGAGAAAACACGGAGUCUUUGAUGACACAGACUAUUGUUAAAGCCUGUCUGAGACAAGAUGACUUCUCAUAGUCACGUGUUAGGUGAUCCGUAACUGGAAAUCUGUCAUUCCUGGAUUCUAACUAUAUCAACAGAGACCAUGAGAGACGAUUUCUGCUGAGCACCAUGGAAGUCAUUAACAGUUUGGCUUGUCUCCAUUUUUAGGUCAACACUCUCAUACCCUCCCUCAUUCUAUUUCCAGUAGUUCAUGUUUUCCCAGAAUAGCUAUGAAAUCAUGUAAUUAGCCUCCAAAUCAGCAACGCUGACACAGCCAUUGGCAUUAAGUACAGAAAAAAUUGAUCAAUUUAUUUUAAAGAAAACAUCCUAAGGGAGUGAGGUCUGCUUUCAAAUGCCAGGGACAGUUUGAUCUAUUAAUACUACAUUUCUGUCAUUAUAACACGAAAUGGCUACUAAAAACUGUUCCCACAUUGCCUCCAAGAAUGCCUGCUUCUAGAUGCAGCACAUACCCCGUUGAUCAGAUUUCUGCACAUGUAUCAUGGUGUGCCCAUCACAAAGGCAAAGGAGCUGGGUCCAGAUGGAAGUCUAUAAAAUAACAUAUUUAAAGGUGAGGUAGGUGGUAUAUGAGGGCAAGAGUGGGGUGCUACCCAAGAGAUUUUUUAAAAAGGAAAAUGGUGGGGUGACUGAGUGGCUCAGUCGCUCAAGCGUCCGACUUUGGCUCAG